rnacentral:rRNA from 1 species
CCUGGCUUAGGAUGAACGCUGGCGGCGUGCCUAAUACAUGCAAGUCGAACGAAGAGUGCAGCAAUGUGCUCUUAGUGGCGAACGGGUGAGUAACGCGUUGGUGAUCUGCCUCGAAGUGAGGGACAACAGUUCGAAAGGACUGCUAAUACCGCAUAAUGUCUGGGGAGUUAGAGACCCCAGAAGAAAGGCGAAAGUCGCUUUGAGAGGAACCUGCGUCCCAUCAGCUAGUUGGUAAGGUAAUGGCCUACCAAGGCGAUGACGGGUAGGGGACCUGAGAGGGUGGACCCCCACAAUGGAACUGAAACACGGUCCAUACACCUACGGGUGGCAGCAGUAGGGAAUAUUGCUUAAUCUGCGAAAGCGGGAAGCCAGCAACGCCGCGUGUGCGAUGACGGCCUUCGGGUUGUAAAGCACUUUUGAAGGGGAUGAGAAAGGACAGUACCCUUCGAAUAAGCCUCGGCUAACUACGUGCCAGCCGCAGC